CCUGGUCACCUCACCUGCAGGUCGGAAUCCUGACACCAACCUGGAGGCCCUGGAAGAAUUUAAGAAACUCGUGCAGCGCAAGGGACUCUCAGAGGGGAUUAUUUUCAUGCCCCUACAGAUGGGAAGCUGCGUUCCCGAACACUAGGCACAGUGGUCCCCGGGUCUGCACCUCCAGAGUCCACCCUGCUGCCAGACAUGGAGCCCGGGCCGCCUGGACCCACCCUCCAGCCAUGAGCCUUCCCUGACCCACCUGCCUGACACCAAAUAAACA